rnacentral:rRNA from 1 species
AGUGAACGCUAGCGGCGUGCCUAACACAUGCAAGUUGUGCGGGAUUCUGCAGAGUAUCGCAGAGUUUAGCGGCAAACGGGUGAGUAACACGUAGGAAACCUCCCUCAGAAUGGGGAAUAUUCCCGAGAAAUCGGAGCCAAUACCGCAUAAGACCACAGUUUGGCAUCAAAUAGUGGUUAAAGCAGCAAUGCGUUUUGAGAUGGUCCUGCGUCCUAUCAGCUAGUUGGCAGGGUAACGGCCCGCCAAGGCUAUGACGGGUAUCCGUCCUUAAAGGGUGAACGGACACACUGGAACUGAGACACGGUCCAGACUCCUAUGGGAGGCAGCAGUGGGGAAUUUUGGACAAUGGGGGAAACCCUGAUCCAGCGACGCCGCGUGGAGGAUGAAGGCCUUCGGGUUGUAAACUCCUUUUAGAGGGGAAGAAAUAAAUGACAUUACCCUCAGAAAAAGCCACG